UGGGGAAUAUUGGACAAUGGGGGCAACCCUGAUCCAGCGACGCCGCGUGAGUGAAGAAGUAUUUCGGUAUGUAAAGCUCUAUCAGCAGGGAAGAUAAUGACAGUACCUGACUAAGAAGCACCGGCUAAAUACGUGCCAGCAGCCGCGGUAAUACGUAUGGUGCAAGCGUUAUCCGGAUUUACUGGGUGUAAAGGGAGCGUAGGCGGUCUGGCAAGUCUGAUGUGAAAACCCGGGGCUCAACCCUGGGACUGCAUUGGAAACUGUCGGACUGGAGUGUCGGAGAGGUAAGCGGAAUUCCUAGUGUAGCGGUGAAAUGCGUAGAUAUUAGGAGGAACACCAGUGGCGAAGGCGGCUUACUGGACGAUAACUGACGCUGAGGCUCGAAAGCGUGGGGAGCAAACAGGAUUAGAUACCCUGGUAGU
rnacentral:rRNA from 1 species